rnacentral:rRNA from 1 species
AACGAACGCUGGCGGCGUGCCUAACACAUGCAAGUCGAACGAGAAAGGGGCUUCGGCUCCGAGUAAAGUGGCGCACGGGUGAGUAACACGUGGGUAACCUGCCUCUAAGAUUGGGAUAACUCGUCGAAAGAUGAGCUAAUACCGAAUCAGACCACAGUUCCCGCGGGAACAGGGGUCAAAGGUAGCCUCUGCUUGCAAGCUAUCACUUAGAGAUGGGCCUGCGCACCAUUAGCUAGUUGGUGGGGUAACGGCCUACCAAGGCAAAGAUGGUUAGCUGGUCUGAGAGGAUGAUCAGCCACACUGGUACGGAGACACGGUCCAGACUCCUACGGGAGGCAGCCGUGGGGAAUAUUGCGCAAUGGGCGAAAGCUUGACGCAGCAACGCCGCGUGAGUGAUGAAGGCCUUCGUGUCGUAAAGCUCUGUCGGGAGGAACGAAUGCUCCUGAGGUUAACAGCCUCGGGAGGUGACGGUACCUUCAAAGGAAGCACCGGCUAACUCUGUG